CCGGCGGGACGCGGAAACGCAGCAGCGUGAGCGCCAGGACCACCUUCAUCUCCGCCAUAGCGAACGUCUGCCCGAUGCAGUUCCUGGGCCCCUCUGCGCCUUCACUGAGAGCUGCAAUCCUGAGUCGUUCUUACUGCGCCAUCUUCGAGAAGCUUCUUUCCCCUCACAUUUUCGAUUCGUGAAAGAGAGCAUUAGAUGAAGCUGUUUGGAGUGAUUUGGUGUGAGUCAUCCCUUGGCCUUGUUUGCGUCAGCCAGCUCGGAGGUGUCUGGGCUGCCUCAGGGCCAGUCUGGCUACCUUCCAUUAGAGCUACCUGUCACAUUUUGGAUGGCAGCACCCCAAGAUGGAAGGAUCCCCAAGUCAUCAUAUGGAGGAGAGCCUCUGCAGCAAGCUUCCUGCUGUGCAUUGGACUGGGAGAGGAGAAAAGACACAGAGGCAGGUGUGCAGAGAAAAGAGGCUGUGAUGACAGACAGGAAGAAGAUGACCAUGUGGCUGGGUGAUGCCUCUACAAGCCCAGGAGCACCAAGCACAGCCAGCAUGCACCGGGAACUGGCAGAACCGUCGGAGAGAGGAUGGCUCUGCUGACACCUUGAUUUUAGGCUUCCAGCCUCCAGGAUUGUGAGGUAAUGCAUUUUGACAUUUUAAGCUGCCUAGUUAGUUGUUGGUACCUUGCUGCAGCCCCCCAAAAGGAGCACUCCUCUUUUUUCUCCCCCUCUCCUCACAGCAGCUGCCUUAAAACUCAGGGUCAUUCCACAAUCAUGCUCCAUUCCAGCCGCAUUCCAAGUGGCAAGUCUUUCUCUCCUUGCCCUCCAGCCCUCACAACUUCUCAGACUUUGUCCGCUUCUCCAAUGCCUCAGUGUCUUUAGAGUUAUUCAGUUACAGUGAAGUGACCGCCUAAGAACAAUAGCACCUGAGUGCGUGGCUGCCGGGCUGACGAGUCAAUGGCCUGGGUCCAGGUUGUACGUAACAUCCGCCAGAGGUCUCCCAUGAAAAAUAGCUCCCACUGUUUCUCAAACUGGCAUCUGGGGUUUCUCUAAGAGUUUUCUUUCUUGAGAUAAGGUCUUGCUCUGUUGCCCAGGCUGACAUGCAGUGAUGCAAUCACAGCUCACUGCAGCCUCGACCUCCUGGGCUCAAGCAAUCCUCCUACCCCAGCCUCCUGAGUAGUGGGGACUACAGGUGCAUGCUACCAUGCCCAGCUAAGUUUCUAACUUUUUUCAGAAAUGGGGUCUCACUACGUGGCCCAGGCUAGUCUUGAAUUUCUGGACACAAGAUCCUUUCACUCCAGCCACCCAAAGUCCUGGGAUUAUAGGGAUGAGCCAUUGUGCCCAGCCUCUCCUGUGUUUUCAUUUUCAAAAUCUAAAAAAUUGUUUUAUUAGUCUUCCAAUCAUGAAAUCAAAACUUGUUUUGCAGUGGUUAUUACAAGAAAAUAUAAUUUUUAAAUCCAUUUUCCUCAAACACUUUUCCUCCUUAAAAAGGGGGAUAUUUAUUUCUCAAAAUUAAAAGAUGAUGCUGCAGUGGUCAGAGGGGAACCUGGGCUGAGAGGCCGUCGGUCUUACCACUUGCUUAUUCUCAUCCUGAGCUGGUUUUCAUUGAAUGCCAAGCCAAAUUUGCCAGCUCAUAAUUAGCCAUUUCAUGUACAGAUACAUUUGCAUGAGGUUUUUAGAACAUAAAAAAAUGGGCCAGGCGUGGUGGCUCACACCUGUAAUCCCAGCACUUUGGGAGGCUGAGGCAGGUAGACCACAAGGUCAAGAGAUAGAGACCAUCCUGGCCAACCUGGUGAAACCCUGUCUCUACUAAAAAUACAAAGAUUAGCUGGGGUGGUGGCCCACACCUCUAGUCCCAGCUACUCGAGAAGCUGAAGCAGGAGAAUCACUUGAACAUGGGAGGUAGAGGUUGCAGUGAGCUGAGAUCAUGCCACUGUACUCCAGCCUGGCAACAGAGUGAGACUCUGCCUCAAACAAAUAAACAAACAAACAAAAAACCUGCUCACCUAUCUUUUUAUCAACUGAAACAGCCUUUCCAAACAACACUCUCUUUUUCCCCUACCACACCUCAUGGAGUAAAUAUGCUGUGAGCAACUUUUGAAAUCAGUUAUUUAGAAUCUUGGAGGCUGGGAGAUGGAGCAGUGGAGCAGAAGUCCCCUGGAGUAUUUUGAAGUAAACACCAAAUUAUAAAUGAAGAGCGCUUUAUAAAUAGGUUGUAGGGGCAGGAACAGGGAUGGAGUGCAUGGGCUGGAUGCCAGCCCCUGGUUAACCUUCAGGAAAACAACUUCCCCAGCAUGAGUCUCAGUUCACCUGCUGGAGGUCUUGAGGGCUCGUGCCCCUGUCUCUGAAGGUCUAGUGGAAAGGUUCUUUGAUGAACUUCAGUGUGGAUGUAUGUGUGGGGAAGUGUUGUCUUCUCCAGGCCUGGUUUCCACCAUCUGAGCAUCAUCAACACCUAAUGAAGGUUUGCUGUCUCUGCUCAGGCUGCAGAGAGGGAGGGUGGGCCUGAGCAGGAGGGGAGAGUGGGAAGAGAUGGCCUUGAGCGUGCAGAAAGCCCCCUCCAGGCCACCUUCCAAGGGCCUGGUUUCCAGCUCUGCCAUGGCCCAUCCAGAGCAGAGGGCUUCAGCAGCUGCUUGGAACAAGGCUUAGGCCAGGAGACACUGACAAGGUAUAUGAGGUGGACCUGCUAGGCGCUGUGGCUCAUGUCUAUAAUCCCAGCACUUUGGGAGGCUGGGGCAGGCAGAUCACCUGAAGUCGGGAGUUGGAGACCAGCAUGACCAAUAUGGAGAAAACCCGUCUCUACUAAAUAUACAAAAUUAGCCGGGCAGGGUGGUGAAUGCCUGUAAUCCCAGCUACUCAGGAGGCUGAGGCAGAAGAAUUGCUUGAACUUGGGAGGUGGCAGUUGCCGUGAGCUGAGAUCACGCCACUGUACACCAGCCUGAGUCACAGAGUGAGACUGUGUCUCAAAAAAAAAGAAAAAAAAAUUACAUUCAGUGAAAAGUAAGCUUUCAUUUCUUCCAGAUCAGGCACUCUCUCUUCAGAGGCAACCAAUAAUACAUUCUUCCACAUAUUUUCUAUGCAUCAACAACAUAUUCAUAUAUCAGUAAACAUAUAUGUUGAUGUUUACAUGGCAGAAUACCAUACCCAAUAUUUGUGAUCUUACUUUAGUCACUCAACACGUCUCAGUGCUCUUUUCUUUUUCUUUUUUUUUUUUUUUGAGAUGGAGUUUUGCUCUUGUCACCCAAGCUGGAGUGUGCAGUAGUGCGACCUUGGCUCACUGCAGCCUCUGCCUCCCGAGUAGCUGGGAUUACAGGCAUGCCCCACCAUGCCCGGCUAAUUUUUGUUUUUUUAGCAAAGACAGUUUCACUGUGUUGGCCAGGCUGGUCUCAAACUCCUGACCUCAAGUGAUCUGCCCAGCUUGGCCUCCCAAAGUGCUGGGAUUACAGGCAUCAGCCACUGCACCCCGCCCUUCAGUGCUCUUUUGAUCCCUUUAUAGAAUGAUCCAACUUAUUUAGAAAAAUUUCAUGCUACGAGUGCUGCAACGAACAUUUCCACAUGCAUUUCUUAUCAGGUGUGCAAGUGUAUUUGCCGGAUAUAUUCCUAACAGUAGCAGAACUGUCAGAUCAAAGGUAUAUGAAUUUUUUAUUUUGAUAGAUAUCGACAAAUUGCCCUCUAAAAAGAGCAUGUGGAUUUAUAUUCCCUUCCUCUCUGUUCUCUUACCAGUGCUGUGCAUUUUCAACUUUCUGAUCUUUGCAAAAUGUAUAAGUAAACAAAUGUGUCUUCCGUGAUUUUCUUGCUUCCAGUCACGGUCCUUUUGAUUCACUAUUCACCUGCUGCUAGGGUGUGAAUCCAAUCCUGUAACUCAGCUGUAGAAGAUGCUUCCAUUGCUCUGCACUGUCCUUGGGAUAGAGUUCCAUUUCCUUGACUGGCUUGCAAGGCCUUUGUGUUUAGAGUCCUUUGUAGGUCUCUGUUGUCAUCCCUCAUCUCUUGCUGCUCACACUCCACAUUUCAGCCAUGCCGAAUUACUCAGCCUGCUCUCCCUUACCUCCUUCCAGAUCUCUUUCCUGUGGUCCUCCUGCCUAAGAAUACUCUCCACUGCCUGUCUUCCCUGCUCUGCCUCACACUCAUCGUUCUACUUUUGGCUUAGACGUGACACCUACUAGGUUAUAGCAGGGAUGCACUGGCUGCCUCCACAGCCCCCAUACUUCACCUUUUAAAUUAUGCAACACUUGAUACAUCAAAAUAGUGUGUAAUAUACAUGCAAGUUAUGAUGGAUAAUCGUAAAAAUAAACCUACGUGCCUACCAACUGCACCCCAAGAACCAGAUGGCUGCCAACAUUGUAUCUGUGCUGCUUUCCUGUCCAUCACUACUCUUCCCACACUGGGUGGUACAGCAUCUAUAUUUGCCUCUAUUUCCCACUGGCGUCUCAGUCCUGGGAAACAGGUCUGGUUUGUGCAUAGUGGCAUUCCAAGGCCAAGCAUAGGGCCUGAUAAGUUGCGGUCACUUAAUAAUAUUUUCAAAUUGGAUGUAAUAAUAGAAAGGAGACUUUUUUUUAAAUAGCUAGGCUCUCAGAAAGCAAGUCAAUUAUUAAGAACUUAUCAUCAGUUCAUGCUGUAUAUUGGGUCAUUUGUCCAAGGUCAGAGAUCAAGAUGUAUAGCUUAAGCCUCCUACUCUGGCUCCUUUGGUGAGGCUAGUCUGCUGUGACUUUUCUUUUUUCUAUUUUUUGAUGGGUGGUAUCAUUGUUUAUUUUAAUUUUCCAGUUACACAACUGGAAGGCUGAACAGUUUCUGAAUUACCAGGAAUCUAUCCUAAUAUUAUAAUUGCAAAGUAAAUGAGCUUACUCUUCCAUGGUAAUAAGUAAUUCAGUUCCUGUCCAAAGCUGGAAAUGUCAUUCAUGACACUGAUUUCACAAAUUAAAUGCUAUCACCUACUUGAAUUAAAUAAGGAAACAUGUCACUAAUGGAAUUUAGCUUGAGAUAAUAAUAGUAACACUAGUUUAAUAAGGGCAGACCUCAUGCUAGGCACACUGUAGAUUGUUUGUGCUGAUCUUUACCAUUAUCCUUCAAAGAUAAGAAUGAUUAUUUCCAUGUUGAGGUGAGGACAUGGAGGUUUAAACGGCAAGGGUUGAACCAGUGCUACUAAGCUUGGACAUCAGAGAGCCAGAGCGGGCAUCAAAGUCUGUGUCUCCACAGACCCAAGCCCUUUCCCCCAUAUCACACGGCAUCUGAACAGCAUAACUAAAGAAAUAGCACAAUGCCUUUAAAAAGUGUUUUCCUGGGCCGGGCACAGUGGUUUACACCUGUAAUCCCAGCACACUGGGAGGCCGUGGUGGGUGGAUCAUGAGGUCAGGAGUUCAAGACAAGCCUGGUCAAAAUGGUGAAACCCCGUCUCUACUAAAAAUACAAAAAUUAGCCAGGUGUGGUGGUGAGUGCCUGUAAUCCCACCUACUCGGGAGGCUGAGGCAGGAGAAUCAUUUGAACCCAGGAGGUGGAGGUUACAGUAAGCUGAGAUUGUGCCACUGCACUCCAGCCUGGGCAACAGUAUGAGACUAUGUCUCAAAAAAAAAAAAAAAAAAAAGCAUUACUAAAAAGAGUAGAAUAAAGUAGAAUAUUAUUAAUAAUAAGUGCUGAAAGGAAAAAUAAAGCAGUGUAAGGGAAUGGGAGGGGACAAGUCUGGAUGUUUCUUUAGAAGAGGAGUUCGGAGGAGCUUCCUUUGGUAAGAUGAUCUUUGAACAGAGACCUCAAUGAAAGAAGGGAGGGAAUCUGUGGAGGUACCGGGGGGUAGAAGGUGGAGAAAGAGGGUCCUGGGCAAGGUGCACCUGGCUUUGUGAAAUUUGUAGCAUAUCCCAAGCUAUAAUAUUGCUGUUUACAUGUUAGAAGAGGUUCUCCUCCAUUUUAUGGAGCUUAUGAAUUGAAAAAGUUUUCUCAAGUCUUCCAAACAACUGAUUUCUCUUGACUUUCAGACCCCUGUUAAACAUAGUGAGCCCCAAGUUUCUCUUCAAAGAGUCAGUAUGUCAGUAUGUUCAGCUCUCUUAUUCUUUAAUUCUCUAUUUUAAAGUUUAACUUUCUUGUAAUUCUGGUAAGCAACCUUCUCCACCAGUUCUAAUCAGUAGUUCACAUCUGUUCCCCUGGCCCCCGGGUCUAUCCUGACUCAUCCUGGUCAUCUGCUCUCCUCACCUGCUCCUGUCACCUUCUUUGACCUAGGUCACCUCUGGUUACAUGCUCUGACCCACCCGUAAACAUCCUUCCUGCCAAAACACCCAGCCUGCCACUUCAGCUCAGACCCCUGGUCUCUUUAAAAAUAGCCAUUCAGGAUUAGUCUAGUUUGUGCAGUCUAAUACUAGGCAAUAGGGGAACAACACAGCAGCAAGGGUGACCCCCAUCAGCCAUAAAUACCCCUUCCCCUCCUUGUCCAGGUGUGUGCUCCCCAUUCUUCCAUCUCUGAGCCACACCCUUCUAUAGAAGUAAAUUGCCUUGCUAAGGAAAUUUAUAUUCGAGUGCUACUUCUUUCUCGGUAUUGAAAAUUCUACUUAUAACACACCCAAGGGCAAGCUGCACCCUUGCCUGCUUCCUGUUGACUCUGAAUGAGGAGAAGUUUGCUCAAGCACCCACUCCCACCCGUGAAGCUCAGCAGAGAGUGGGUGAUAGGGGACUUAAUGAGAUGGCACCUGUGAAACCCAAGCACAUGCAUGAAAGCUUAUUGGUUCAUAAACUAGUUGGAGAAACCCCAUCAGUUGUUUUUUUGUAAGAUUGAAGGUCAGGGGCACUCAGCAUGGUUAUAUUUAUCAAGAGGAAAGAUGUAAUUCCCUUGUGUAUUAGAAGUAAAGGUCCCAUUCAAAGUGCAUAUGUAUUUCUAUCUCUCCAGGCCUGCUGGGGCCUGUUAUACCAAACACCACGUGGAUGGUCUCAGCAGACAGAAAAACUCCACGGAGUUCUAUCUGGAUAGCAGAAGGCCAUCAAAGGCAGAUGUCCAGGGCCUGAAAGUGGCACCAGAAAAAGAAAGGGUGGAUCUUCACACAGGAUGGGUGGAGGGGAAAGGAAGUAAGCUACUUAGUUGGAAACAAAACAAACCCAUCCAGUAUGAAAUCGCACAAUAGAAGGAGGAACUGAGAGUUCACAGUGCCAAUUUGAGAAUAAGUUAAUGCAUAUUCUAGCAAAUUAGCAAAUAAAACAGGAUGAGAAUAGUGGGUCCAGAAGGGUUAUUAAUGAAAAGAACCAUGACUUCGGGUUGCUAGGCUCCAGCUUGAGCGUCGCCAACAGGACUAGAUAUGUCUGGGUAGGGUGGGUGGAUGCUGUCUCCAUGUUCACAGUCAUGUCUGCAAAAAUAGAACUGGGAUGAUGAGAAAAGCCUGAAGGGAAAUAAGCUGCUCCUCUACUCUCUCUUUCCUCGUGCAUUGCUUCAAUUUAGCCUUACUAACCAAGUACCGACCUGCAGAAAGAUGAGUGGUGCUUUCUACUCAUUAAUCACUGAGGUGCUCUUCCAAAGAAACAGCCUGUCAACAAGAUACAUUUGGAAUGAUGACAGGAGACCACAGACUAUUAAUCAGGGGAAUAAUGUGGACUUUCAGCUGACUUUCAGGGUUUCAGAGGAGAGCACAUACAACAAAUACCUUUCUUCUAAAGACUCUGGGACCCCCACACUGUUGAAUAAAUGUCUCUCUGUGUGUGUGUCUCCAUCUCUUUCUCUCCUGCUCUGCAACAUUUAUGAAAAACUUGUGAAAAAAUGUGCAUGGUUAUGGAUUCUCAAAUCAAGUUUCCCCUGGGUUAUUAUUCAGAUAAACUUAGCAAGAGAAUCUUAUUGGUGAUAACAAUUAUGAUAAUGAAAGUAACUUCCAGGCUGAGUGUGGUGGCUCAUACCUGUAAUCUCAGCACUUUGGGAGGCCGAGGUGGGAGGAUUGCUUGAGCCCAGGAGGUUAAGGCUGCAGUGAAACACGAUUGCACCACUGCACUCCAGCCUGGGAAACAAGUGAGAUUCUGUCUCCAAAAGGAAAGUAACCUCCAAUAUUUGCAUAGGUCGUUAUGAUUCAUACUUGGUUCCCACAAGAAUGCUUAGGUACUACAUAUCCCCAUUUUAUAUAUGAGAAAGCUGGCUUAGGCACACGUUGCCAGAAUUUGGUAGCAGUUAGCAGAGCCAUCCUCAGGAGUGCUAGGUCUAUGUGGGACCGGGUCCUUCAUCUCCCUCUGCUUUCCUGUCUGCCCUGGCCAGGGAAGAGCAUCAAACACAGGCUGUCCAUCCUCACUUUGUCUUCACAGGGAUGCCAAAUGUCUUGUGCUACUAACAUACUUUCCACAUGUGGAACUCCUUAUGGCUCACAGCAGUUGGGAGACAAUGGCAUUGUUGAGCAACCGGCCAUUCUGCUGCUGGUUUCAAUAAGCAAUGAUGAAAAAGGACCCAACAGCUUCUGAGGUCAGCCUCCCAGAAGACAAAGCCUUUGUUCCCAAUGUGGAAUCAAGUCCUUGAGGACACCAGCUCUGUGUCUGCGCUUCCUUCAGCACCCUGCUCUUUCCCUCUUGCCAAAUAGAAACCUUUUGAACUAGUAUUUUUCAAAGUACUCAGCAGAACGUUCCAGAAGAUGUUAGGCAAUGGAAUGUGGAGAGGGGUGGUGGGAGGAUUUGAUGAUCAAAUGAACUUGAGAAAUCCUCUUGAAGAUUUAUGUGCACACUAGUAGAAUAAAGUUUCUGAGGAAUUCCACAGUAAAGAACUAUUUAAUUUGAUUUAAUGGUUCAGAUUGUCUUUUUUUCCCCUCUGAACCCUAUCCAUGUCUAGUGGAACAUUACCCAUUAUUGAAUUGUAUAAUUAUGCAAUCCUCCAAAAUAAUAUCAGAGCAAGGCCAGGCACGGUGGCUCGUGCCUGUAAUCCCAACACUCUGGAAGGCCAAGGCAGGCAGAUAACCUGAGUCAGAAGUUCAAGACCAGCUUGACCAACAUGGCAAAACCCAGUCUCUACUAAAAGUACAAAAAUUAGCUAGGCAUGGUGGUGUGCACCUGUAGUCCCAGCUACUCGGGAGGGUAAGCAGUAGAACUGCUUGAACUGGGAGGCAGAGGUUGCAAUGAGCCAAGAUUGUGGCAUUGCAUCCAGCCCGGGCAAUAGAGUGAGACUCUGUCUCAAAAAAAAAAAAAAAAAAAAAAAAAAGGAAGACAACAUUGAUAUAUCAGAGCAUAGAAUGGUCUGGAAAUGCCUAGGUUCCUGAACAUGACCUGGCAUACAGUAGGGCUUACAGUUGUUGAAUUUUUUUUGGUAUAAGUCAAUGCACAGUAUUUAUAUAAAAGAAUGAAACUAUAGUCAAUUAAACAACCACGUGCAUUUGGCACUGCUAUUGCUCAGGGGUUCUCAAAUUUUGUUGCAAUUAGAAUCACCAGAGGGAACUUUAAAAUUUUUGAUGCCCGUGCUGCACCCUAGACACAUUAAAUCAGAAAUUGUGGGAUUGUAGCCAAGGCAUCAGUAUUUUUAAAGUUCUCCAGGUGAGUUUAAUGUGCAGCCAAAGUUGAUAACAAAAGGUAUGAAUAAUUACCCAAUGGCAAAGAGCAGAUAUGAGACUGAGAAGAGUUUGGGGGGGCUGUGAUAUGCACCACUUCAAAACUGUCCAUGAAUUUAUGAAAUCCAUCCCUGUUAAAACCAAGAUAAAUGCUAGAGACUUAGCCUAUAGUUUUACCAUUCUAUGCACACGUGUUUCUAAUAUGCAUGCAAAUUGGUUUAAUUAUACACAAAAAGAGUCUGGUUUCUGUAGAUUGCAGAAAGCUGAAGAUUGGACAUUUGUUGCAUCAUAUGGCAAUUUGGUUCUAGGUGGACACAACAGGUAACAGUGAAAGACACUGAAGCGUCAACUUGUAAAAUGGGGUUUUGCCGAUAUGGAACACAACUGGUUUAUGAACCACUUUCUAUGCUGAAUACUCUGUAAAAUGUUCCCCUUCCAAACUACUAGCCGAUCAUGGAUACAUACUAAUGGUGGUUGAAUGCUAAAGCUCAGGUGAUUUUGCUCAUCAGGGAAGUCAUGAGGAGAGAGGAGGCACUUAAGACGGCCGGGCGCGGUGGCUCAAGCCUGUAAUCCCAGCACUUUGGGAGGCCGAGGCGGGUGGAUCACGAGGUCAAGAGAUCGAGACCAUCCUGGUCAACAUGGUGAAACCCCGCCUCUACUAAAAAUACAAAAAAAAUUAGCUGGGCGUUGUGGCGCGCGCCUGUAAUCCCAGCUACUCGGGAGGCUGAGGCAGAAGAAUUGCCUGAACCCAGGAGGCGGAGGUAGCGGUGAGCCGAGAUUGCACCAUUGCACUCCAGCCUGGGUAACUCCGUCUCAAAAAAAAAAAAAAAAAAGAUGGUGUCAUGUCCUGUAGUUUAACUGUGCCUGCAAUUAACGCAUUUUACCACCAGAGGAGAUAAGGAAUCAGUCACUUGGAAGCUCCUUAGCGUACAAGCGCCUAAGUACUUCAACUUUUUUGGUUCAAGAUAAUUCACUCUCCUUCUAAAUAAUAAUCAUACAUUUUCAAAUUUUGAAUGAACUAUAUACUUCCUAAAAUAGAAAAAUAAGCUAUUUUGAAGCAAUCUAUUUACUUAAAGACCAUAUCUUAGAAACAGGGGUCAACAAACUUUGUAAGGCAGAUACUAUAUAAAUACCUCAGGCUUUGUGAGUCAGAUGAUUUCUGUUGUAACCACUCAACUUUGCCACGUGGUUGAAAACAGCCGCAGGCAAUAUGUAAAUGAAUGAGUACCCUAUUUCAAGAAAUCUUUAAUUAUAAAAUUAGGCAGUGGGCGGGGUUUGGCCCAUGGGCCAUCAUUUGCUGAUCGCUAACUCAAGAUUAAGUAUUACAGAUUCAAUUGCCUGCAGUAAAGAGGGCUCUGUAGAGGCCGCGACAAAUUAGGGAUUUGUCACAUAUUUUGUUAAUAGCCAACUCAGCUCUAACCGAUAGUGACCAGGCAGAAUGUGAGCCUAGCAUGGCCAGAUCUUUCUAUUUUUCAAAAACAGAUGGAAAUCUGAAUUCUUACAUAUUUCCCUAUUUUUAAAUUUUGGCAAUUAGUUCAGACACCACCACCACCACCACACACACGUUGGGUACCCAGCAGAACAACUGCACAGACCGCCUUUGCCCCACUGAGCAGCAUCUGCUGCAGAGCAGCUUUUAAAAAUUAAGCAGUGUGCUGAAGGUCGAUGUGGAGAUUUCUAUCAUUGUCUUUCACAUAAGUAAAGGGAAUCAAAAUAUUUUACCCCAAAAUAGAUCUCUUCAACAUAUUUCCAAAUGGCUGCCUCAGAGCUGGCAAGCAAAAUGACCUUGCAAAGUUGUCAAAAGAAAAUUUGCAUCUGUAGACAGUCUCCAUUAACACAACCAGGCUCCCGUGCUCUAGCAGAGACUGGGAGUCUGACACCUUUAAGAGGCCGGGCGUGGUGGCUCAAGCCUGUAAUCCCAGCACUUUAGGAGGCCCAGGCAGGUGGAUCACAAGGUCAAGAGAUCGAGACCAUCCUGGUCAACAUGGUGAAACCCCGUCUCUACUAAAAAAUAUAUACAAAAAAUUAGCUGGGCAUGGUGGUGCGUGGCUGUAAUCCCAGCUACUCGGGAGGCUGAGGCAGGAGAAUUGCCUGAACCCAGGAGGCGGAGGUUGCCGUGAGCCGAGAUCGCGCCAUUGCACUCCAGCCUGGGUAACAAGCGUGUCUCAAAAAAAAAAAGUCUAAAAAGAAACAUUGACCUUUGAGGGAGGCUUUAUCUAUAUAACCAAGCCUAUUCUUUUCUCCCUCCCUUAAACUGUCCGGCCACUAAUCAGUUUUGGGGUGGGCACUGAGUUCUUAUUCUUUAUUUAUUUCCAGAUAGUAGAUAAUCUUCUGUUUUGUGGGGUGGGUCUUCAUUCUGAAAGCUCCUGUAUAGACACACUAAAUUGUAUGCCUUUUCUGUUAUUAAUCAACCUGCCUCAUGUCGGUGAUUUUUUUUUUAGUGAACCUUCAGAGGGCCAAGCGCCUCUGGCUCCCACAUAAACGGUUACUUAGCACUGAUUAAGUGGGAGGCACUAUUCUAAGUGCCUUGUCUAUAUUAGCUCAUGAAUUAUCCUCACAACAAACUUGUAAGGUGGGUGCUAUUACUGUUUCAUCCUGGGCAAAGAGAGGUUGAGUAACUUACCCAGGGUUACACAGCUGAGGUGUGGCAGAGCUGGGAUUUGAACCUACGCAGCUCUAAGGUAGAGUCUCUACACAUAACCCACUAGGCUGUAACUUAUCGGAACGGGAUCCAGGCCCCGAGAGAGGGUUCUUGGUUCUUGCACAAGAAAGAAUUGAGGGUGAGUUCAUGGAGUGAAGUGAAAGUAGGUUUAUCAGGAAAGUUAAGGAAUAAAGAACGGCUACUCCGCGGGCAGAGCAGAGGCACUGGCUGCUUGACUAAGGACACUUACAGUUAUUAUUUGAUUAUAUGGUAAAAAGGGGCGGAUUAUUCAUGAGUUUUCUGGGAAAGGGUUGGGCAAUUCCCAGAACUGAGGGCUCCUCCCCUUUUUAGAUCAUAUAGGGUAACUUCUGGAUGUUGCCACAAAGUCUGUAGCCUGUCAUGGUGCCGGUGAGAGUGUCUUUUAGCAUGCUAAUCAUUAUUAGUGAAUAAGGAGCAGUGAGGACAACCAGAGGUCACCCUUUUUUUUUUUUUUUUUGAGUCUUGCCCUGUCACCAGGCUGGAGUGCUGGGCUCACUACAAUCUCUGCCUCCUGGGUGUAAGUGAUUCUCCUGCCUCAGCCUCCCAACUAGCUGGGAUUACAGGCACAUGCCACCCCCUAGUAGCUGGGAUUACAGGUGCCCGCCACCAUGCCCCGCUAGUUUUUUGUAUCUUUAGUAGAGACGGGUUUCACCAUAUUGGUCAGGCUUGUCUCAAACUCCUGACCUCUGACCUCAUGAUCCACCCACCUCAGCCUCCUGAAGUGCUGGGGUUACAGGCCUGAGCCACCACACCCAGCCCAGGGGUCACUUUUAUUGCCAUCUUGGUUUUGGUGAGGUUUGGCCAGCUUCUUCACUGCCUGCUGCUUUAUCAGGACCUGUACCUUGUGCUGACCUCCUGUCUCAUCCUGUGACUUAGAAUGCCUCACCUCCUGGGAAUGCAGCCCAGUAGGUCUCAGCCUCAUUAUACCCAGCCCCUACUCAAGAUGGAGUCGCUCUGGUUCCAACACCUCUGACAUAAUUGUCUCCCUUCCAGGGCUGCUGUCUACUCUUAAUCUUGCACUAAACUAUAGCGAUAGAGAGAGAAAAGGAGACUCCUCUCUCGCUUGUAACUGGACUUGGGCCUCAGGGUCAAGGUUUCUUCCAAGUCAACUUAUCUUCCCAUCCCACGUGUGGACUUUGUGGCUUUGGGGAACGUCGUGUCUGAGAUGACCACAUCACCUAUGGGAAGGCAAACCCCCAAGCAAACGUCAAGUUGAAGGUUUGCAUCAUCCCAUCUCUUCUGUGUUUAUAUUUUAUUGUAAUUAUUUUUCGGUAAAGCCUACUGCUCUGGAAUUUGUAUUAAUUCUACAUACAGUAUUUAGUUUAAUUAUCCAUCUUCCUUUUCUAAUUUGUUCUAGCAAGCCCCAAGAAAAUGACUUCGGGUAUGUGUGGGAAGAUUUCUUUCUUAAAGCUACAGUAACCGAAUGUAGGGAAAGGCCAUCAAACAAAUUCAAUUCCUUUCAAAGGACAGUAAGAAUUCUUGUCUAAGUUUGCUCAGUUGAAAUCACGGUUUUGAAAGAGAAGUGGACAUUUUUUUCUCCAGCAAACUUAAAAGAAAUGACAAAUUAGGUACUUGUGUCACUGCUAAAAUGCAGCUAUGAGUUUUGCUGCUGAUUCUGGAAGAUAUUCUGAAAAGUAAUUUCAGCAGCAAAGGAAAUGCAGGAGGCAAAACAAAUGAGAGUCCCCUUUUUCCAAAACUGCGAACACCUCUGGGAGACCAGUGAAGCUCUCAGUCAUCCGCAACUUAAUAUCCAGUACUUUAGGCAGCGCUGUUUUCCUUCUAAUGCCUGCAGAAGCUAGACUCUGCCGGGAAAGGACAGUUUGAGAAUUCUGGGGUCACGUGAGGCUUAUGGUGAUAAUGGAUGUAGUUUUGUAACAGAAACAGGGUUUGCCUGGAACUGUCCCAGUUUCAAAACUGAAAGUCUUGUAUCCCAGGAAUGCCCUCCGUUCCAGGCAAACCAGGACACUGAAUGACCCUAAGGUCACAGGCAGCGUUUGUGAUUGCCUGUCUAGUUCGUGCUCUGACUUCCCUCCCCGCUUCACUGUCUUCAAUGCUACUUACAGGUGUGACCCCACAGGCUCUGAAUACCCUCCUCAGUGUUUUCCAAACCUCCUUGAUUGUAGGAAUCACCCGAGGGCUUGCCAAACCUGGAUUCCCAGGCUCCACUUUUGGUAAUUCUCAUCCAGAGGUCUCAUUUGAAGUAGGUCCUGAGAGUCGGUAGAUUCACCAAAGCCAGGGGAGUCUUAUGAUUGGAGAAGUUUGGGAAGCGCUGAUUAACCUACGUUCAAGGGGUAUGAAAGCAGCUCUAGUUCAAGAACCGGGAGACUCAGCACACUCCACACUCACCUGCCCCGUCUGGUUUGGCCCCUGGGACAGACAGAGGUGUUCAAACCAGAACAACUUCAUCUGAAUAGGGGCUGGGUCAAAUGAGGAUGAGACCUGCCAGGCUGCAUUCCUAAGAGGUUAGACUUAUUCACAGCAUGAGUUAGAAGGUCAGCACAAGACACAGGACAUAAAGACACUGCUGAGAAACAGGAUGUGGUCAAGAAGCCAAACAAAACCCACCACAACCAAGAUGGCAACAAAAGUGACCACUGGUCAUUCUCUCUGCUCAUUAUAAUGCAUUAACAUGAUAAGAGACACACCCACCAGCACUGUAACAGUUUACAAACCCAUGACAAUGUCUGGAAGUUACCCUAUAUGGUCUAAAAAGGGGAGGAACCGGCCCAGGGCAGUGGUUCAGGCCCAUAAUCCCAGCACUUUGGGAGGCCAAGGUGAGAGGGUCACUUGAGAUCAGGAGUUCGAGACCAGCCUGGCCAAUAUGGCAAAACUCUGUCUCUAUUAAAAGUACAAAAAAUAGCUGGAAGAAUCGUCAGUUCCAGCAGAAACCCCUGCCCCUUUCCAGGAAAACUCAUGAAUAAUCCACCCCUUGUAUAACAUAUAAUCAAGAAAUAAUUAUAAAUAUUGCCAGUUAGCUCUCGGGGCCACUCUGGCUACGGAGUAGCCAUUCUUUUAUUCCUUUACUUUCUUAAUCAACUUGCAUUCACUUUAUGAACUCCCCCUGAAUUCUUUCUUGCACGAGAUCCAAGAACCCUUUCUGGGAUCUAGUGAUUGGGACCCCUUCCCACUAAGAGCAUUGCUAGCAACCAGGUUUCCAGGGGGGUCCCCACAUGCUUAGGAACUGACCCCUGAAUCUUUAUCCACGGGCUGACCUUUCCUGCCUGUGGACAGAGGUCUCUGGUUCUUCCUGCUUUUCUGAAUGUCUGGAAAUAGUUUAUUCUGAGAGUUGCCAUGUUCUGUCCCUAUACUCUAAUGGAGCCUACCGCUCUCAAGGUCAUUGCCCUGUGCAUGUAACUGCCACAUCUCACCUCUGCCAGCAGCUGGGGGUUGCUUCUCUGUGGGUCUCCACUGUUCCUGGCCUCUCCUAGCUUCUCCCGUAGACUGUGUUUAAUGCUUUUCUAUCCAAACGUUUUAAGAGAUUCACCACAAUGAGAAAGAUGCAAAAGGCAGGGAUACUGCCUAAGGGUGUGAGCCCCUGAGCUGACUACUGAGGUUGAACUCCAGUCAUGUUAUUUUGGGCCUCAGUUACUUAACCUGUAAAAUGGGGAUAAUCACAGUAUUGAUUUAAUUACAUUGUUGGCAGGGUUAAAUGAGAAGAUAUCUAUCUGUAAAGCAUUUAGCAUGUGCCUGAUGCCUCUGAAACUGUAAAUGUUAGCUAUCAUUCUCAUUCUUAUUGUUACUAGUGCUCUUAUCGUCAUUAAUUGUUAUUAUUAUUUUUACUAGGAAGUAGGAGAAGGAUAUAGAAGAUAGGGCAGGAGAAGAUCCUUUAUCUUUUUAAAAAUUUUGCCAUAGAGGCUGAGUGCAGUGGCUCAUGCCUAUAAUCCCAGCACUUUGGGAAGUUGAGGCAGGAGGAUCACCUAAGCCCAGGAGUUUGAGAACAGCCUAAGCAACAUAGAGAGACCCCCAUCUCUACAAAGAGUCAAAAAAUUAGCCAGGCAUGGUGGCAUGUACCUGUAGUCCCAGCUACUUGGGAGGCCGAGGUGGGAGGAUUGCUUGAGCCCAGGAAGUCAAGCCUGCAGUGAGCCAUGACCACAUCACUGCAUUCCAGCCUGGGCCACAGAGUAAGACCCUGUCUCAAAAAACAAACAAAUGGCCAGGUGCAGCGGCUCACACCUGUAAUCUUACGUUGGAAAUAGAUGCUUGCUGCCGCAAAGAAAAAUUAGCACUGAGACAAAGGAUCUUUCGGCAACACGAUUUUUACUUCCUGCAUUGCAGGAAGGGUACUCUCAUUAGCCAUCUUGCCACAAGAAUACAAUGAACAAAGGAAAACACACACAUUUGUUCUUUAUGCAUUUGGAGUCUUCCUUACUGCUGUGUGAUCUCUGUUGGCUGGAGCAAGAACUCACAAUCUAAACUAAAACCCGAUUAGCUAACAACUUAAAACUUUUCUAAACAGGUAAAAGUAGUGGAGAGCUGGGACAUGCCCGUGAGCACAUCCAGCACAGAUAUCUUGGUUAAAGUACAAGGACACAGAACGUACUAUGUGCCUGUAAGCAUGGCAUGUUUGACAGCUACAUAGGAUAGAGUGUCACAAAGUUAUUAGCACACUUAUGAUGUAUUCUUUAACAAGAAAGGAAAUUUUAAAAAGGAAUUUUUCUACUUCCCACAUCUUAGCACUUUGGGAGACUGAGGCAGGCAGAUCAUUAAGAUCAGAAUUUCAAGACCAGCCUGGCCAACACGGUGAAACCUCAUCUCUACUAAAAUUACAAAAAUUAGCUGGGCGUGUGGUGGCAUAUUCCCGUGGUUUCAGUUACUUGGGAGGCUGAGGCAUGAGAAUCGCUUAAACCUGGGAGGCGGAGGCUGCAGUGAGCCAAGAUCACACCACUGCAUUCUUGCCUAGGUGACAGAGUGAGACUCUGUCUUAAAAAAAGAAAAAAAGAAGCCAACAAAAAUUUGCCAGGGGCUUUCUCUGUACCUUGGAAUUUGAAAGAGACAUCUGCUCUUCUUCAUCUGCUCAUCCUUCCUCACCAUACCAAAAGAUUACAGCAGCAGGAGUUUCAAAAUGAACAUCAGGAUAUGUGACAUGACCAUCGAGUGGGAAGAAUUUAAUUUCCAAACACUUCUAGAAAAUUCCAGUGAUACUCUCAUGCAUUUGAUUUUUGCUUAGAGUUCGAAGAAUGUAAGCUAAGAUUACUUAGUAUAGCUACAUUGGAAGUAUGGGCGUUUUGUGGGAUGGUCUACAAAUCCAGCCUCCCUAUAUGUUGUGAAAUCCUAAUAGCCAACUCACAUCUGAAUUUUAGGAAUAUAAUCCAUUGCUAUGACAACCAUUACUGAUAUCACGUUUGGCCCGACUCAGUGCAUUGGAGUACUCUCCAAAGGGAAACACAUUUACAUGAAUCAAUUUAUCUUUCAUCUCAUAUUAAAGAAGCCAAUCAGAUGAUUUUGCCCAGCAGAUCUAUUAUUAAAGAAACAAGUUUGCCUUUUAGCUCCUACCUACAGAUUUACAGGAUUCAUCUUAUUUAUAAUACUAAUAUGAAAAGCAAGGUCUUCUGCAGAUGAAAGAAGGCCAAUUACUUCAGCAGUACACUUCAGACAGGUACAUCCAUAGGCCAGCAGUGACUAGUUUUCCAGAGUCCUCUCUGCAUGGAAGGUUAGAACAGAGGAAAUUCCAAUUGCACUCUCAAUUCAGUAGCCACGCAGUGCUCCAAAGCAUGGUUUUCAGCAAUGCAUAUUUUUGACUCUAGGACUUUUGCAUGCAACAUCUCGAGCUUUCCAGCAGAGGCCAUGUUACCAGUGGUGGAAUUCAUACAAAUCUGCAGCAAACUCGAUCCUUGUCUUCUUAGAGGAAAGAAUUUGGCUGAGGGGCAGAAGUAGGUUUAAAGCAAAGGGAAAGACUGUGGCAAGUUUUAGAGCAGGAAUGAGUUUAUUAAAAUGUUUUGCUGGGCGCAGUGAGUCACGCCUAUAAUCCCAGCACUUUGGGAGGCCGAGGCGGGUAGAUCACAAGGUCAAGAGAUCGAGACCAUCCUGGUCAACAUGGUGAAAUCCUGUCUCUACUAAAAAUACAAAAAAAAUUAGCUGGGCAUGGUGGUGUGUGCCUGUAAUCCCAGCUACUCAGGAGGCUGAGGCAGGAGAAUUGCCUGAACCCAGGAGGCAGAGGUUGCCGUGAGCCGAGAUUGCGCCAUUGCACUCCAGCCUGGGUAACAUGAGCUAAACUCCGUCUCAAAAAAUAAAAAAAGAAAAUAAAAUGUUUGAGAGAAGAAGCAAAAGGAAGCAAAGGACAUUUGAAAGAGGGCCAAGCUGGCCACUUGAGAGGCCAGCUGCCCCAUUCAGCCUUUGACCUGGGGAUUUAUACACUGGCAUGAUUUGGGGGUUUUCUUUUCUCCUCCCUUGAUCCUCCCCUUGGGGCAGCCCGUUGCUCAACCACCACAUGCACAGUGUUGCUCAGCACUUGGGAGGGUGACUGCAUGCAUAGUUUUUUUUACUGAGGUUGUACGCAUGCUCUCUAGGGGCAAUUUUCCCUUACUGGUCGACGGUCCCCAGAUGAAGAUCAUAUACCCACUACUUUGCCUCCUAGUGUGGAUCCUUGAGCCCACUUGUCCUGAAAUCUUGCUGAGAAGCUGCUGAGCAUCAGCUCCAGGUAUUUUCUACCUAUGGGGAGCCUAGCUUUGCCUGGUGCUGGCAGCGACCAAUUAUCAUUUCAGAGAGAUAGUUUAACAACCGCCUAAUCAUCACCUGAUGGUCUCCUGACACUCCUGGGGUGCCCUUUCCUGCCCUACUCACAUCUGCCUACCUAAAAGUAGAAACGUUCUAACACCACAUCGUGUAGUUUUCGCGUGGCAGCUAACUUUGCAUAGGCAUUACAGAUUUAGAUGGGCAGAGCUCCACCUAUGAUUUUUGUCUGAGACAUUAAGGUUAGUAAAGGAGGUCAGAUGUUUCCCCUCCCCUGGGACUCCCAUGAACUCAAAAUCUCACAGACGUUUCAUCAAAAUGACAGGCAAUGUUAUUUUGAUUAGAGAUGUGCUUCUUUAAGGAGAAGUGAAAGCAUCUUAGCUUCAGGAGUGAUAUGACUGUGUGCCCUUGACCACGUUUCAUGGCAUGGAAACAAAGAGACCACUCGCUUCAAGGCAGUGAGACAUAGCUCUGUUGGGGUCCGUGUUACUGCUGAGAAUCCUUUAAAAGCUGAGCAUGUUGGCUCACGCCUGUAAUCCCAACAAUUCAGGAGGGUGAGGUGGGAGGUUUGCUUGACUAGAGGAAUUUGAGACCAGCCUGGGCAUCUUAGUGAGAACCCCAUCUCUCCAAGAGCUAAAAAAUUAGCCCGACAUGGGGACUCCCACCUGUUGUCCCAGCCACUUAAGACACUGAGUGGGAGAUUGCUUGACCCCAGGAAAUUGAGGCUCCAGUGAGCUGUGAUUGUGCCACUGCACUCUAGCCUGGGUAACAGAGUGAGACUCUGGCUAAAACAAAACAAAACAAAACAAAACAAAAACUUGCUUGUUUGGGUGCCUUUUGUGCCGUUCACUCAGAUGCUGUCCACCCUGGCCUCCUUCUCCUUGGCAGUCCUAACCAGUACCAUAGCACUUUAGUAUGGAAGGCAUGUUCGUGCAGUGUCCACCGCUAAACCAGAACCUUCUUGAAAGACUGUGAGCUGUCCUUUUCAUCUCUCAUUGCUCCUAUAAUUCCAGUGGCUGGCCAGAUGUGGUGUCUCACACCUGUAAUCCCAGCACUUUGGGAGGCUGAGGUGGUCGGAUCACCUGAGGUCAGGAGUUCGAGACCAGCCUGGCCAACAUGGUGAAACCCCGUCUCUACCAAAAAUACAAAUAUUAGCUGGGCAUGGUGGUGCGUGCCUGUAAUUCCAGCUACUUAGGAGUCUGAGGAAGGAGAAUAGCUUGAACCCAGGAGGCAGAGGUUGUAGUCAGCCAAGAUCAUGCCACUGCACUCCAGUCUGGGCAACAAGAGAAAGACUCUGUCUCUAAAAAUAAGAGUAAUUAUUCUAGUGGUGGAUGAAGAUGAAGAUGAAGAUGAUGAUGAUGAUGAUGACAGGUUAGCAGCAAUAGUAGCUAACAUUCAUGGGCUCCCAAAGCUGAUGCUCAGCUGUUUUCACUGAAUUUCUCACUUCAUCCUCACAAGAAUGCUUUGUGGUACAGAGGAAGAGGCUGAGGCUGAGAAAGGCUAAAUGGCUUGUUAAGGUUGCUGUGGGGUUGAAUAGUAUCUCCCCAGUAUUCAUGUCUACCCAGAACCUGUGAAUGUGACCUUAUUUGGAAAUAGGAUCUUUAUUAAAUUUAAGAUAAAGUCAUACUAGGUUAGGUUGAGCCUGAGACCAAUGACUGAUGUCCUUAGAAAAAGAGGAAAAUGUGGACACAGAGACACAGAAGAUGCACAUGGGUUAGGAGGCCAUGUGAAGACAGAGGCGGAGAUUGAAGUGAUGUUGCCACAAGCCAGGGAAUGUCAGGGAUUGCUGGCAACCACCAGGAGCUAGAAGAAAGACGUGAAACAGAUCCUUUCUCUAAACCCCCAGAAAGAACCAACCCCAAGGACACCUUGAUUCUGGCCUUCUAACCUCCAGAACUGUUAGAGAAUGAAUUUCUGUUGUCUUAAGCCACUCAGUUUGUCACAACUUGUUACAGCAGUCCUACCUGACUGAUAAUAGUAGUUUCUUAGAUACUUGAUUGACUAAACUGACUUGGGUGGUGUAUUAGUCCAUUCUCAGGCUGCUAAUAAAGACAUACCCCAGACUGGGUAACUUAUAAAGGAAAGAAGUUCAGGGCUGGGGAGACCUCAGGAAACUUUCAAUGAAGGUAGAGGAGAAGCAAACACAUCCUCCUUCACAUGGUGGCAGCAAGGAGCAGUGCAGAUUAAAGUCGGGGGAAAAGCUCCUUAUGAAACCAUCAGAUCUUGUGAGAACACACUAUCAUGAGAACAGCAUGAAAUAACAGUCCCCGGCCGGGCGCGGUGGCUCACGCCUGUGAUCCCAGCACUUUGGGAGGCCGAGGCGGGUGGAUCACGAGGUCAACAGAUCGAGACCAUCCUGGUCAAUAUGGUGAAACCCCAUCUCUACUAAAUACACAAAAAAUAAGCUGGGCAUGGUGGCGCGUGCCUGUAAUCCCAGCUACUCAGGAGGCUGAGGCAGGAGAAUUGCCUGAACCCAGGAGGCGGAGGUUGCGGUGAGCCGAGAUCGCGCCAUUGCACUCCAGCCUGGGUAACAAAAGCGAAACUCCGUCUCAAAAAAAAAGAAAUAACAGUCCCCAUGAUUCAAAUAUCUCCUCCCUCCCAUGACACGUGGAAAUUAUGUGAACUACAGUUCAAGAUGAGAUUUGGGGCUGGGCACAGUGGCUCAUUCCUGUAAUCCCAGCACUUUGAGAGGCCAAGGCAGGCAAAUCACUGGAGGUCAGGAGUUCAAGACCAGCCUGGCCAACAUGGGGAAACCCCAUCUUUUCUAAAAAUAUAAAAAAUUGCUGGCUGUGGUGGCACAGGCCUAUAGGUCCAGCUACUUGGGAAGCUGAGGCAGGAAAAUUGCUUGAACCUGGUAAGUGGAGGUUGCAGGGAGCAGAGAUUGUGCCAUUGCACUCCAGCCUGGGUGACAGAGUGAGAGUUUGUCUCUAAAAAAAAAAAAAAAGACGAGAUUUGGGUGGGGACACAACCAAAUCAUAUCAGGUAGUGACUUAAACCAACCUAUGACUCAGUUCCCUCAUCUGAGAGAUCUAGAUGGCACUGAUUGCUAUGAGAACCCAGUGUAAUAAUGUAACUGCUCAAUGGGUUCUCCUUACCUACUGCCUUAGACAGAGCUGAUUUAUUAAGAGAGGGAAUUGCAAUAGAGAAAGAUUUUAAUUCAUGCAGAGCUAGCUAUGUGGAAUUUUGUUAUUUCGCAAAUCGGUCUUCCUGCGAAUUUGGGAACUGGAAUUUUUAAGUAUAAUUUGGUGGGUAGGAGGCCAGUGAUUGGGAGUGCUGAUUAUUUGGGUUGGAAAUUAAAUCAAAGGGAAUUGAAGUGUCCUUUUGCACUGAGUCAGUUCCUGGCUGGGGGCCACAAGACCAGAUGAGCCAGCUUAUUGAUCUGAUGGUGCCAGCUGACCCGUGGAGUACAGGAUCUGCAAAAUAUUUCAAGCACUGAUCUUGGGUUUUACAAUAGUGACAUUAUACUCAGGAGCAUUUUGGGAGGUUCAGAAUUUGCAGCCUCCAGCAGCAUGACUCCUAACCCAUAAUUUCUAAUCUUGUGGCUAAUUUGCUUGUAAACGCAGUCUAGUCCCCAGGCAGGAAGGGGACUUAUUUUGGGAAAGGGCUGUUACUGCUUUUGUUUUACAGUUAAACUAUAAACUAAGUUCCUUCAAACUUAGUUUGGCCUGUGCCCAGGGAUGAACAAGGACUGCUUGGGAGGCUAGAAGCAAGAUGGAGUUGGUUAGGGCAGAUCUCUUUCACUGUAAUGAUUUCGUCAGUUAUAGUUUUUGCAAAGGUGUUUUCAGUAACACUUUCACCACAACAUAAUCUUUGGCCCUCGGUGCUUUGUUGUUUUAAAGGACUUCAUAAAGUACAGCAAUGCUUGCGUUUGAAUAUGCACAGAACCCUUCUGGAAGCAUCAUCCACAGGGAACUGGUAGAGGAGGCUGUCUGUGUAACUGCCCAGUGGAUUCUUCCUGCCCACUGCACAGACAAAACCAACUCACUGAGACCAGGGGAUUGGAAUAAAGAGUUUAGUAGGCACGAGGCUGGCCAUGCCAUGUGGGAGACAGAGUUAUUACUCAAGUUGAUCUCUCAGAAGAUUCAGAGGCUAGGAUUCUUCAAGGAGAGUUUGUCAGGCCAGGGAGUCUGCUUCUGGGUGAAAUCAUGACGGGUGGGCAGGGGCCUGUAGGUUUGGGUGGAGUUAUUGCCAAACUGCAAAAACCUGAAAAGACAUCUCAAAAGGCCAGUCUUAGGUUCCACAAUAGAGAUGUUAUCUGCAGGAGUAAUCCCGGAAGUUGCAAAUCUUGUGAUCACCAGAAUAAUGGCUGGUAAUCAUUUAUGUCUGUACCUUAGCAGAAUUCAGGCUCUUCACAUCCUCCCAGUGGCAUUUCAUUCUCUUUACAAAGGCGAUUAAUUUUGGAGAAGGGCUAUUACCAUUUAAACUAUAAACCAAAUGUCUCCCAAAGUUAGCUCGGCACAAGCCCAGGAAUAAUGAAGCGCAAUUUGGAGGUUAAAGCAAGAUGGGGGUUGGUUAGAUCAGAUCUCUUUCACUGUCAUAAUUUUCUCACUGUUGUAAUUUUUGCAAAGGCAGUUUCAUCUGGGGAUGGGAACUGGGGAUGGGAGUCAGGUGUGGGCAAGGGUGUAGUCUUUACUGUUUACCUUUUGUAUUAUUGAGUUGGGUAACGUAUUCAUGCAGCACCUAUUUUAAAAAGUAAAAAUUUAAGUUAUAAAGAGCUAUGUGGCUCACUUUCCUCUUCCUCUUUCUGUUUCUCUGUGUUGCUGUGUCUUUGGUAAAGCAGAGGGUAGAGGACAUCAUGGGUGAAUGAGCCGUGGGGUGGGGCCCAGGACAAGGAUGAGCAUUCCAGAUCAAGAGUGGAGUGCCUGUCUCCCACACAGAACUCCCACUCCCUGCUCAGAGGCCACCUGCUGAUACCUUCACUGUGCAUGUCAGGCACAGUAAGUUCCCCCCAUGCCCCGAUAUAGUCAGACUAGUCAGACGGCCAAUCAUUUGUCAAGUAGUUCAUACAGUAUUAUGUCAAGUGCCUGGGCCAGUUUCUGCCCACAGCAAGUGCUCAGCUGAAAUGCACUGAGGUACACGGCUGGAGCCCUACCCAGAUUCUUAUUGGAUGCAGGCUUCCUCCCUCCCCUUGUUAGGCUGAGCUCCAGGCAACUUUUCCAAGGGGGAUACAGCUGUGGGGAGAGGCAGGCAUGCCUACAGGUCCCAGAAAUGAUUCUGUCUUCUCUUCCAUCCCUCUUAGGCCAAUCUUUCAGAAUCUAUGAGAUAUCAAGCAAUGUAAUCAAAUCAGGAAUCAGUUAUGUGCAUUGUGGGCCUGAAAUAACAAAGGCAGCUUAGUGAGGAACGGAAAGGAGGAAUGGAAUCUGAUUCCAACAAGUUAAGGUGGAACUGAGCUUGCCUUGGCCUCGCCCACCUUCCCACCUUGCCUUUCACCAGAAAAAUCAUGCAAUUUCCCCUUCUCUCUGAUGUGUACUAAUGUAUGGUAUUUGCAUUGGAUAAAAUUGCCAUGCAGGAAUUUGGGAUGCUGGUCUCUGAGGAGGCAGAUGUCCUGUGAGGAGGUUAGCAUGAACCUGUGCGGGGGGACGGCGCCCACUGCCAGGGAUCUGCAGCUGAGACUGCUCUGGCGGUGUUUCCCUCAUGCUGGCAUCUGGAUGGACUGGAACUGUCACCACCCAGUGGGUUCACCUUGCCCACUGCCUAGGCAGAGCCAAUUUAUCAAGAUUGGAAAUUGCAAUAGAGAAAGAGUAAUUCACACAGAGUCAUCUGUGGGGAAGUCCAGGUUUUUUUAUUAUAACUCAAAUCCGUCUUCCCCAGCAUUCCGGGAUCAGAUUUUAAAGACAUCUUGGUGGCUGGGUGAGGUGGCUCAUGCCUGUAAUCCUAGCUCUUUGGAAGGCCGAGGUAGGUACAUUACCUGACGUCAGGACUUCAACACUAGUCUGGCCAACAUGAAGAAGCCCUGUCUCUACUAAAGAUACAAAAGUUAGCCAGGCAUGGUGGCACGCGCCUGCAGUCCCAGCUACUUGGGAGGCUGAGACUGGAGAAUUGCUGGAUCCCUGGAGGCAGAGGUUGCAGUGAGCAAGGUGGCACCACUGCACACCAGCCUGGGCUACAGAGCUAGGCUCUGUCUCAAAAUAAAUACAUAAAUAAAAUAAAAACAACUUGGUGGGUGGGAGGGAACCAGUGAGAUGGAAGUGCUAAUUGGUCAGGUGAAAUCAUAGGGAACUGAAGUGGUCCUCUUAGCCUGAGUCAGUUCCUGGGAGGGGCCACAUGAUCACAUGAGCUAGUUUAUUGAUCUGGGUGGGGCCAGCUGAUCCAUCGAGGGCAGGGUCUGCAAAAUAGCUCAAGCACUGAUCUUAGAAGCCGUUUGGAAAGGGUCAGGAUCUUGUAGCCUCCAGCUGCAUGACUCCUAUGCUGUAAUUUCUAAUCUUGUGGCUAAUGUUAGUCUUACAAAGGCAGUGUAAGGAGGCAACAGGAGGCUUGUUUGGGGAAAGGGCUGUUAUCAUCUUUGUUUUAAACUAUAAACUAAGUUCCUCCCAAAAUUAGUUGUGCCUGUGUCCAGGAAUGAAAACGGACAGCUUAGAAGUUUAGAAGCGAGAUGGAAUUGGUUAGGUCAGAUCUCUCUCACUGUUUAAGUCACAAUUUUGCAAUGGCAGUUUCAGAAGCACUAACCUUAUUUUGACUCACAAAUUUCUAUCUGCUUUUCUGCUUUGCCCUCUCCCUUAGCUAUCAUUUUUUCCCAAGAUACUCAUUUUGACUCAGAAGAAAAUUGCAAUAGGGAAGAAAUCAAAUCUUCACCUUACUGAGAGGCAAACAGGAGUCGGAGAGGUUUGAAAGUGUUCUCAAUUAGAGGACAGAAAAAAGUGUGACAGGCAGGCCAUUGGGAAAUGCUUUUCAUUUGUUCAGUCACAUCUGAAAGAACCAAUCUGUAAGAAAUACUAAACGGGUAUUGGUAUGGAUUUAGACAAAGGCUACCGAUAUAAACAUGAACACGCAUGUGUCUGCAGUUCUGAGCUGGAAGACACAGCUGUUGAUUAAGGGCUCAGUCCCCUAGGGCAGAGAUGCCCAGUCCGGUUAGACUGGAUUGAGAGUCCCUUAUGGAUUGAAUCCACUGUGCUUGGGCCACCUGUCUGCUUGUGAUAAGAGAGAAGCCCAGGAAGGCAGACGAAUCGUCAAAUCAUUGGUUUGCCUGGUUAGACAAGCAUCAGGAGUGGUUUUCCAAAUGGAGCUGUAUGGUUUUACUUCCCCCAUGUAAUGAUGGAAAAUCAUGUUAUUUGCUUCGUACUAAUAUAUGUAGGUCUGCAUAUGUGUAAAACCUCAUUGAAUCUUCUCUGCCAGCUAACCAGGUGUUAAUUACCAUUGACAUCAUCCCCACUUCACAAAUUAGCCCACCACAGUCUACAGAGAUUUAGCAUCAGGUUAUAAUGAUUGGUUUUUUUGAACCGAGAUAGUCUGGAGUCAGGAGGCUAUGCAGAUUAAUCCAGUGGGCUAUUUAUCACUGAAAUAGAACUCACUCGUACAUUCCAGAAGUAUUUGCUGAGAUUCUGAGUGCUGGGUGUCAUUCAUGGUACAGGGUGUUGGGGAGGGAAGAUGAGAGACCCAAGUGUGAAUAAUGCUCAGCUCUGGCCUCUGGGAGCCCACCUGCUGCUGGGGAAGACAGACAAUGAAAAAAUAAUGGGUAGGGCAGGGAGAGCGGGGUGGGAUCGCUGGAUUCUCAUCAUUCACCUUUGGGGUAAUGGUAUCAAGGAAAGGCUUCCUGAAGGAGGUGGAUCUCAAAGGAUGAAGGGGGUACUGGUGGGCAAAGCACUGGGGAUGAAUAUGCAUGUGGUGGAAGGUAUGUGCACAUGCAUGUGUGUACGUGUGUGGUGUGUGUGUAUAGUAUGUUAGGUAUGUGGGUGUUUAUGUGUAUGUCUCUGCAUGUGGGUGUUUGUGUAUAUGUAUAUGUGAGGUGUGAGAGAGGGUGUGUGUGUGUAGCUGUGGAAAAAGUCUACAAACAAAUCUUUAUGCCAGUAGAAAGAAGACUUAAAAUGUAUGAAAUGUACCAAACACAUAGACAUGAUAAAUAUUUGGGUGAUGGAAACCCUAAAUGCCCUGACUUGAUCAUUAUCAUCUAUCCAUGUAACAAAUUUUCACAUGUACCCUGUAAAUACAUUCAGAUAUAAUGCAUCUAUCAACCAGUCAAUAAUAGAAGGGUUGUGGAGAAGCAGGAGUCCAGGAGCUUGAUUGUGGAGAAGCAGGUUGUAUUGGGAUGUUAACUUUUGUGUGAAAUUCGUAUCAGGAAGAUACAGACAGCGAUUUUUCCAUCUCUGAUAAUGACAGCUCUGAGCACCUGGAGGGAGGAAGGCCAUAAAGUGAUCUCUGAAAAUGAGUAGAGGGCUGAGAAGACAAGCAGAAUGAGAUGGUUAAAGAGGACUAUUUAGCCUUCAUUGGGGCCCAAGGUUCUAAAGGGCUAGUUAGGGAGAAUGUGCUGAGGCUCUCCUUGCAAACAGACCUGAUUCAGGGGAAGCUCCCAGAGCCCCAGGGUUGGAGGCAGCAGGCAAGGUGGCCCUGGUGGCAGCAGUCUUGAGUUCCAAUCCUGCUCUCUCCGCCUGUGUGACAAUGUGAUCUGGGGUAAGUCAUUUACCAUUUCUGAGCCUCACUUUGCUCACCUGUGAAGUGAAGGCAAAGGCCUGGCCUGCAGGAAUGUUAGGAAGAUAACAGGAACUAAAAAUAUGUGUACCUAGUAGUGCCUUGUGGGCACUCCACAGGGGAGCUCUCUUUAGGUUCUUAAGUCAGAGCCAUAGGAGGGUGGUUUUUCCAGGCACAAUCAAAUACAGGGUCAAAGCAUGAAAUUCCAACACACUGAGCUUUAAAGAUCAAACUUGCUGUGAUUAGCAAUUCAUAAGCCAGGCGGUGUCCAGUCUCUAACAUAGACUGUCAGGAAUGGCAGAACAGUGGAUGUUUGUAAGGCACCUGAGCAGGAACAAGGAAAAUAGCGCAGUGCAAAAGCAGACUGGGCAACAUCAGGUGCCUUUGGGUUAUUUUCCUUGUAUGGGUAAAAGCAGGUGGGACUGCCUUAAUACUGGCUUAGGUGACUGGGCUUCUUUUGACUAGUUGCUGUGAAUCUCCUGGGGCUUUUUUUUUUUUUUUUAACUGGCUUGUUUGGGGUUUUUCUGUUUUUUAAAAUUUCAGCUUGUUUAUAUGGCCCUUUUGAAUGACUGAAUUUUGCAUUUUGGUUUGGUCUGUUGGGGCUUAGUGCAGGCAAACAGUGGCCCCUCAUAGAUUUCAUUUAAGGAUAGAAUAAUACAGAGGAAAUCUGCCCCCCAGGCAAAUGGAGACAGUAUAUGAAUUGUUAUUUAAAGGAGCACCUAAAUAUCUUAGUAUGAAUGCUUUCUGUUUAGAAUACAAUUUCAGAGAGAACCAAAUCACACACUAGAGGCACCAUAGGUGGUCUCCAGUGCUCUGUGGGUGUUAAGACAUUCUUAAAAGAAAUGAAUUUUAAUUAACUUUAACUUAAAUAUAUCGAGAAAUUUCAAAGGCUGGUAGGAACUUAAAUAUACCUAGAAAUUUCAAAGGAUGGUAGUAGUUCAGAGGCACAUUGUAAAUUUUAAUACAUUUAAUUUUAUUUAUUUAUUUUCUUUUUAAGAUCAAGUCUCACUCUGCCGCCUGAGCUGGAGUAUAGUGGUGCGAUCUGGCUCAUUGCAACCUCUGUCUCCCAAGUUCAAGUGAUUCUCCCACAUCAGCCUCCUGAGUAGCUGGGAUUACAGGCACCCACCAACAUGCCUAUCUAAUUUUUUCUAUUUUUGUAGAGAUGGGGUUUCACCAUUUUGUCCAGGCUGGUCUUGAACUCCUGACCGCAGGUGAUCCUCCUGCUUUGGCCUCCCAAAGUGCUGGGAUUACAGGUGUGAGCCACUGUGCCCACUGUAUAUAAAUUUUAAUACAUUUUAUAGUAAAGAUCGCACACUUGGACAUAGAGUAUGGAAAGACAGACAUUGUGAACUUGGAAGGGAGGGAGAGUUGGAGCCCAGUGAGAGAUGAAAAAUUACUUAAUGUACAUUACUCAAAUGAUGGCUCCACUAAAAGCCCAGACUACACCACGAGGCCAUAUAUCCAUGUAACAAUACAAUAAAAUAAAAAGUAAAGAUCCACCAUGUUCCCCUCCCCUAUGUUUAAAAAAUGUUAAAUAGUUUAGGCAUCAUUAUUCUUCAGUCUUAGGGUAAUGCGAUUUGAGAUGUUUGAUGCACAACAUGAAUGAGAAUACCCCUCAUUCACCUAAAAUCUAUUUAAUACAGAUUUCAUGAGAAGAAUGACAUUUCUUCUAACCAUUUCUUGAUUUGUUACUUUGAAGUAAGACAGUAAACCCUACUUUCUGGGAUGGGGUUGAAAUUGGACAAUACUGUGGGAAAUUUGGUGUGUUUUAAAAGGCUGUUUGAAAAUGAUCUUCUCUCCCAGAGGAAGAAUGGCUUGGAGCAUCUUGUAUGAAUUGUAGCUUGUGCACUGUAAUUGCAAGGGUCGUGCUAACUGGAAGAGUGACAGUGCUUUAUGAUAGGAUGUGCAUGACAAUUCAUUUCAUAGAGAAUCAGACUGAGGUAUGCGAAACAGUUUGGUAUUUCAGCAUUCUUGGUUAAACAUAUUCCCUGGACAAAAUGAUUAAUUAGGCCAAGAAGAUCAAGAAACGGUAUCAGUUAUCUAUUGCUACGUAACAAUACGUCCCAAUAUUUAGCAGCUUAAGGUAACAGACGUUUAUUAUUUUGUGCAACUUUUGAAAGUCAGGUGUCUUUUUGGCUGGGUGGUUCUGGUCCAGUGUCUGUCAUGAGAUGUAGCUGAGAUGUUGAUGUCACCCGGAGCUACAGGCAUCUGGGGGUGUGCCUGGGGCUGGAAGACCCACUUCCAAACUCAUUCAGGUGUCUGUUGGCUGGAUACCUCUCCCACCUUACCACAUGGCCCUAUCCAUAGGACUGCUCGUAACAUGACAAGUGGCUAAUCCAAGAGCAAAUGAUUUGAGAGACAGUCACCAAGACAGAAGUCACAAUGCCUUUAUAAGCUAAUCUUGGAAAUGAUACACCAUCACCUCUGCUGUACUCUGCUGUCACACAGACCAACCCAACUACUGUGGUCAGGGACUGCCCAAGGG